rnacentral:rRNA from 1 species
UACGUAGGGUGCAAGCGUUGUCCGGAAUUAUUGGGCGUAAAGAGCUCGUAGGCGGUUUGUCGCGUCUGCUGUGAAAACUCAGGGCUUAACUCUGAGCUUGCAGUGGGUACGGGCAGACUAGAGUGCGGUAGGGGAGACUGGAAUUCCUGGUGUAGCGGUGAAAUGCGCAGAUAUCAGGAGGAACACCGGUGGCGAAGGCGGAUCUCUGGGCCUGUCCUGACGCUGAGGCGCGAAAGCUAGGGGAGCGAACAGG